rnacentral:rRNA from 1 species
AUUGAACGCUGGCGGCAUGCCUUACACAUGCAAGUCGAACGGUAACAGGUCUUCGGAUGCUGACGAGUGGCGAACGGGUGAGUAAUACAUCGGAACGUGCCCGAUCGUGGGGGAUAACGAAGCGAAAGCUUUGCUAAUACCGCAUACGAUCUACGGAUGAAAGCAGGGGACCGCAAGGCCUUGCGCGAGCGGAGCGGCCGAUGGCAGAUUAGGUAGUUGGUGGGAUAAAAGCUUACCAAGCCGACGAUCUGUAGCUGGUCUGAGAGGACGACCAGCCACACUGGGACUGAGACACGGCCCAGACUCCUACGGGAGGCAGCAGUGGGGAAUUUUGGACAAUGGGCGAAAGCCUGAUCCAGCCAUGCCGCGUGCAGGAUGAAGGCCUUCGGGUUGUAAACUGCUUUUGCACGGAACGAAAAGACUCUGGUUAAUACCUGGGGUCCAUGACGGUACCGUAAGAAUAAGCACCGGCUAACUACGUGCCAGCAGCCGCGGUAAUACGUAGGGUGCAAGCGUUAAUCGGAAUUACUGGGCGUAAAGCGUGCGCAGGCGGUUAUAUAAGACAGAUGUGAAAUCCCCGGGCUCAACCUGGGAACUGCAUUUGUGACUGUAUAGCUAGAGUACGGCAGAGGGGGAUGGAAUUCCGCGUGUAGCAGUGAAAUGCGUAGAUAUGCGGAGGAACACCGAUGGCGAAGGCAAUCCCCUGGGCCUGUACUGACGCUCAUGCACGAAAGCGUGGGGAGCAAACAGG